GUCUACAGCCAUGCCACCCUGAACACACCCGAUCUCAUCUGAUCUCAGGAAGCUAAGCAGAGUCGGGCCUGGUUAGUACUUGGAUGGGAGACCACCUAGAAAGAUCAGGUUCUGUAGGCG
rnacentral:rRNA from 1 species